rnacentral:rRNA from 1 species
AUUGAACGCUGGCGGCAUGCCUUACACAUGCGAGUCGAACGGUAACAGGUUAAGCUGACGAGUGGCGAACGGGUGAGUAAUGCAUCGGAACGUGCCCGAUCGUGGGGGAUAACGCAGCGAAAGCUGCGCUAAUACCGCAUACGAUCUGAGGAUGAAAGCGGGGGACCGUAAGGCCUCGCGCGAUCGGAGCGGCCGAUGUCAGAUUAGGUAGUUGGUGGGGUAAAGGCCCACCAAGCCGACGAUCUGUAGCUGGUCUGAGAGGACGACCAGCCACACUGGGACUGAGACACGGCCCAGACUCCUACGGGAGGCAGCAGUGGGGAAUUUUGGACAAUGGGCGAAAGCCUGAUCCAGCAAUGCCGCGUGCAGGAAGAAGGCCUUCGGGUUGUAAACUGCUUUUGUACGGAGCGAAAAGGUCCUUUCUAAUACAAGGGGCUUAUGACGGUACCGUAAGAAUAAGCACCGGCUAACUACGUGCCAGCCGCCGCCGUAAAAC